AGCGAACGCUGGCGGCAGGCCUAACACAUGCAAGUCGAACGGAUCCUUCGGGAUUAGUGGCGGACGGGUGAGUAACACGUGGGAACGUGCCCUUUGGUUCGGAACAACUCAGGGAAACUUGAGCUAAUACCGGAUGUGCCCUUCGGGGGAAAGAUUUAUCGCCAUUGGAGCGGCCCGCGUCUGAUUAGCUAGUUGGUGAGGUAACGGCCCACCAAGGCGACGAUCAGUAGCUGGUCUGAGAGGAUGAUCAGCCACACUGGGACUGAGACACGGCCCAGACUCCUACGGGAGGCAGCAGUGGGGAAUCUUGCGCAAUGGGCGAAAGCCUGACGCAGCCAUGCCGCGUGAACGAUGAAGGUCUUAGGAUUGUAAAAUUCUUUCAGCGGGGACGAUAAUGACGGUACCCGCAGAAGAAGCGCCGGCUAACUUCGUG
rnacentral:rRNA from 1 species